rnacentral:hammerhead_ribozyme from 1 species
AUCCAGAUGUCGAAUCCCAAAUAGGACGAAAUGCUCAUCAUGGAU